AUAUAAACGACUCUCGGCAACGGAUAUCUCGGCUCUCGCAUCGAUGAAGAACGUAGCGAAAUGCGAUACUUGGUGUGAAUUGCAGAAUCCCGUGAACCAUCGAGUCUUUGAACGCAAGUUGCGCCCGAAGCCUUCUGGCUGAGGGCACGCCUGCCUGGGCGUC
rnacentral:rRNA from 1 species